rnacentral:lncRNA from 1 species
CUUGAAAUUGUCGCAUUUAAAUCCAAUUUGUGUUAAAACUAUUGACUACUGAAACAUAUAACAGUAGCACACAUAUGCAAAUAUGUUAUGUGAAAAUAUGGUGAGUCUAAGUUAAACUUUCAUGGAGAAGUUGGACCGAAAAACUCUGCAGAAGUUUGUUGCAUGGAACUUAGAAGGAACAUCUCACCAAACCAUAUCUCAGCUCUAAUUAUUUUUGGGCUACCUAAAAAGAAAGAAAUUUUCUUCAGUGAAGACAAAAGCAAUCGGGUUUGACACUCUGAACUCUAAGUCUUACAUGGCAAAAAAAUUGACCUUGAAUUAACGAACGGAUAUUAUAGAUGUAAAAAUGCCAAAACAACAACUAAAAAUUCAAUACGUGUGCGAUCUCAUCUACACCACUGUCAAGAAGGCUGGAGAGACUGUUUGCAACUCCAUCCGUACUGCUUACAACAUCAUGAAGUCCAUUAAAGCCACAUACAGCCAAGAAGAAUCAAAAAUUCCAAAACAACAAUAGGGUGGACUUUGGGCCUAUUUCCCUAUGGCCCCCUCCAGCCCUGACCUCAACCCUCUAAACUUUGCAGCUUGAAAUACCUUGGAGAAGAAUGUUUGCCACACCUCUGAUCCAAAUUUGGAUUUACUCCAAGUUGCCAUCAUGCCAGUGUGGUUCCCCAUAGACACGGCUUUCAUCGUCAAGAGCGCCCUAUCUGUUUGCAAGACUGUCUAGGCGGCUAUUCCUUGUGAAGGAGGGCUUAUUGAAUAAAAACUAAAGCUGAAUAUAAUAUUUGAACAUAUCAAAAAUUGGUUGUGAUUUGUUUUUUCUUGAUUCCAUAAAAAUCAUGUUUUUCGUAAUUUAUUCAUGCAACUGUAACUUUUGGGUGCACAUCUAUAUAUACAAAAUAUACCUUUUA